rnacentral:tRNA from 1 species
GGAGAGGUACCGAAGUGGCUUACCGGAGCGGUUUCGAAAACCGCGUCCCCUUUGGGGACUCGUGAGUUCGAAUCUCACCCUCUCCG